UAUAUGCUGAUUUGUUUUUUUUUCAUCUAUUUUUUUUCUUCUCCUUUUUUUCUUCUUUUUCUUUUUUUUUUGUGAUACAUUUUUGUUUUGUUGUUCAUCCUAUAUCUCAUCAUUUUGUUCAUUUCAAAAAAAAACGUUAUUACUGUAAAUAUAUUAUAAAGUUAAAAGACUCCAAAUGUACACAUUUGCAUAAAUAACAUAUUGCAUAAAAAAAAAUAUUACAUAUAUAUAUAUAUAUAUAUAUAUAUAUAUUUAUUUAUUUUUAUUUUAUU